GGGAUUAUAGAGGAAGGCCGGGGAGCAGGUGGCGCAUCACAGCCCUUAGCCUCUGAGCUUAGCUAGGAACGUUCUGCCUGUGCAGGUCCUCUAUGUGAUGGAGCUGCUGCAAAACCAGGAGGAGGGCCAUGCCUGCUUCAGCUCCAUCUCGGAGUUCCUGCUCACCCACCCUGUGCUGAGCUUCGGUAUCCAGGUUGUGAGUCGCUGCCGGCUACGGCACACUGAGGUGCUGCCUGCCGAAGAGGAAAAUGACAGCCUGGGUGCUGAUGGUACCCAUGGAGCCGGUGCCAUGGAGUCUGCGGCCGGUGUGCUCAUCAAGCUCUUUUGUGUGCAUACUAAGGCACUGCAAGAUGUGCAGAUCCGCUUCCAGCCACAGCUGAACCCUGAUGUGGUGGCCCCACUGCCCACCCACACUGCUCACGAGGACUUUACAUUUGGAGAGUCUCGGCCCGAACUGGGCUCCGAGGGCCUGGGGUCAGCUGCUCACGGCUCCCAGCCUGACCUCCGACGAAUCGUGGAGCUGCCUGCACCCGCCGACUUCCUCAGUCUGAGCAGUGAGACCAAGCCCAAGUUGAUGACACCUG
rnacentral:sRNA from 1 species